UCACUGGGUAUGAUGGUCCCCUUAC
rnacentral:piRNA from 1 species